CGGUUAAGUCCGCUAACGAGCGCAACCCUCGUCGUAUGUUAUAUGUGUCAUACGAGACUGCCGGUAAAAAGCCGGAGGAAGGUGAGGAUGAUGUCAAGUCAGCAUGACCUUUAUAUCCAGGGCUACACACACGCUACAAUGGUCUGUACAAUGGGUAGCCAAGCCGCGAGGCGGAGCCAAUCCUGAAAGCAGGCCUCAGUUCAGAUUGCAGUCUGCAACUCGACUGCAUGAAGCCGGAGUUGCUAGUAACCGCAGGUCAGCAAUACUGCGGUGAAUACGUUCCCGGGUCUU
rnacentral:rRNA from 1 species